CCCCGCAAGGGGAGCGGCAGACGGGUGAGUAACGCGUGGGAACCUACCCAAUUCUACGGAAUAACUGAGGGAAACUUCAGCUAAUACCGUAUACGCCCUACGGGGGAAAGAUUUAUCGGAGUUGGAUGGGCCCGCGUUGGAUUAGCUAGUUGGUGAGGUAAUGGCUCACCAAGGCGACGAUCCAUAGCUGGUCUGAGAGGAUGAUCAGCCACACUGGGACUGAGACACGGCCCAG
rnacentral:rRNA from 1 species